CCACAUUAUACAGUCUAAGAGUCCACUACUUAACAUUAUCUAUCUGUAUAUGUUUAAAAUUUAGGGUUAAGUAAUUUUACAAAUAAUAUAUAUAUUUUGUGUUUGAAUUUUGUUCUAAUAUAUAUUUUUGCUCCAAUAACAUCGGUAUUUGAACCCCAAUUAACAAAAAUAAGUAUUAAGUGUAUCAUAGUAGCAAACAUGCAAAUUUGUGGAAUAUGUGGAAGUAGUCACUCUCCAAUGGAUUGUGAUAUAAUUCAAAUUGUCUCUCAUAUUCCUGAUAAAAGUAUACCAUCUAAAGCUAGAUUAACUGUACCAGAAGAUUUGGAACUAAGAAAAAUGGCAGAUGGGUCUUACAAUAUAAUGGCUUUACGAACUAUUGAUAAAGGAACUCAAUUUGGUCCUUUACAAGCAAAAAAAUUAUGUACACUGUUACCUUCUAUAAAUUUCCCUGUACGUCUAUUUUAUAAUAAUGAAGGUGAUUUCUCUGAAUAUUAUUUAGAUACUAGUGAUGAGAACGAAUGUAACUGGAUGAUGUUUGUUACUCAUGCCAAAGAUUUUGAGGAACAAAACUUAAUUUGUUAUCAAGAUGGUGAAGAUAUAUAUUAUGUUACUAUUAAGGAUAUAUAUUUGAACGAGACCUUGAAAAUAUGGUAUUCUCCUUAUUAUGCAUCUAAAAUGAACAGGGAUAUUUUAAUACCAAUUAAUAAUAAUAAAAAUACUCAAAAUUUGAAAAGUAACAAUUUCAUAGAUCACUUAGUUAGAAAUAAAAGCUCGAUAGCAUCAAGGGAAGUAUGGAGUUGUAAGUUUUGUGGAAGGCUGGAGAAAAAUCUGCCAGAAUUUGCAUCACACUUAUUGCAACAUUAUAAUUUUAAAACUAAGAGAUAUUGUCACAUAUGCAAUUUUCUAUUCCGCAAAAAGGAGGGAUAUCAAAAACACAUGAAAUUCCUACAUUCAACUGAUGUAACUUUAGACUCAUCUGUACAAUUGAAUGAAAAAACUAAUUUGACUCAAAAUUGCGAUAUAAAAUUACAAAAUUUUCCAAAAGAUGCCUACAUUGGAGGACCUCUCCUAUUUAAUGAAUUGUUAAAUGACAGCAUGGAUAAUAAUGGCCUCACCCUCAAUUCUAAUAUGGAUACAAAUCACAUGGAUUUGGCAGUGAUAGAAAACCACAACAAUCUUUUUGAUAACGAAAAUUUGAAUUUAAACAUGGAAUAUAUACUCCCCGAUAAUGAAAGAGAGAUGGAUAAUUUCAAUUUUGAAUUAGCACCUCCCGAUAAUGAACAAUUUGUGUGUGAUAUUUGUCUUAAACCUUUCAAACAUUUAAAAGCUCUAAUUUGGCAUAUGAAUAUGCAUAUUGGAAAUUUCACCUGUUUUGAGUGUGAUAAGGUAUUUUCUCGAAAAGAAAAUUUGGAUUGCCACCCUUGUAAAGCUUUCUAUAAAUUGCAAUGUUCCCUCUGCGAAAAAUUGUUUUAUCAAAAGAAAUAUCUCACUCUACAUAUGAAACUUUAUCACAGCAAUUACUGUAAAUUUUGUAAACAGAUGUUUAAAACCGGGGAACUGUUGCAGGAUCAUAAUUGCCCAGAAAAAGAAAGAAGAAGCAAAAUCAAAUAUACAUGCGAUGAAUGUCAUAAAGUAUUUAAUCAUAAAACAAAUUUAAUUAUCCACAGGAAACGACACAAACAAUCGGAAAAAUAUAAUUGUCCAAUAUGUAAUAAAAUAUUGGGUUCAUAUAAGACUUAUAGGAAACAUACUAAAAUACAUGAAGGGUGUAGUUAUAAAUGUGAUAUAUGUGACAGAAUUUUUAUGAGAAGUGAUAAUUUGAAAGUACAUAAGGAAAGCGUGCAUUUUGCUGCUGGAAAGGAAACUUGUGAAAUUUGCAAGAAAUCGUUUAAAACAAAAAAUCUUCUGAAAAAACACAUAAAACUACACGACAGUACAGCUGAAGUUAAAUGUCAAUACUGUCCGUUAAAAUAUAAACAGCUUAAAUACUUGAAACAACAUAUAAAAAACCAACACAAUGUAAACAAAGUCACACAAUCUGCCACAUUAAAUAAUGAUAAACAAUAUGCUUGUCCAAAAUGUGGCAAAAAAAUGAAAUUGGAGUCUUCUGUUAAACGUCAUCUCGAAGUAUUCCACGGCGAGUCUAAAAUGGAAUACAAAUAUCUCAAGAAAGAAAAGAGAACUGAACAUAAAAAGGUUUCAAUAAGUAUAAUGCCAUUUUCUUGUCCCAAGUGUGACAAGAAAAUGAAGCAUGAGUAUUCAAUAAAACGCCACAUCGAAUCUGUUCAUCCAGACUAUAAAGGCAAAUAUAAAUCUGUAAAAACGAAAUCAGAAACCAACAAACAAGUAGAAGAAGAUGAACUGACACAAGCUUUAGAAAACAUUAACUAUAAUACCGAUGAGAUUAAUCGCGAAAUAACUAUAGAAAUUGAUAAAUUACUGAACAAUCCUGAAACAUUUACCAGCGACAGCAAUGAUAGAUUAGUGGAAAGUUUGAUUAAUACAGCAGUCGGGGAAAAUAAUUUGGAUAAUGAUGAUACUGGACAACAAAAAGAUGCUAUGUUGUCGAUGCCAGACUUGGAUUUGGAUCAUGAUUUAGAUUUAGUUAGUUGUAAGAAGACUGUUACAAUAUAAUUUUUCUAUUUUUGGAUAAGUAAAAGGGUGAAAACAAUGAAAGCAGCGCUACAGAAGACGAGGUGGACGAGGAAGAGAUUAGUGCGAAGAAGACUUAUAAAAGAAAUAAGAUAAAACGUGAUUGAGUGCAGGGGCAUGCUUACAAAAACUUCAAAGGGAAGCAGUAGCAGUCAAGACUGUCAGCAAAUCUUGCAAAAACACUGACAAAGACUCCGUUCAUUAGGGCAUACCUGAAAUACGAGAAAAGGCGUUAAGAAAUCGUCACAGUCUCCUGCUACUUCCAUGGAUACGGGUUUGUACCACCACUGGAACUGCAGUACUGUCAGAGAAGAAAGUUGCCAAUACUCCUAGGAUGCUUUGAAAACACAUUUCACUGUUUGUAACAACAUUAAGUACAUUGAACAUAAAAGAAUGGGUAGGAAGUUGGAGAGUAUCGAAUGAGCCGUCUUUCCCUGAUCAUAGAAUAAUCAUGUUCAGAUUUGAGGUAGAUUCCACUGAACCAGAAAUCUCAGUAGAAAUCCAAGGGAAAUUGAUUGAGAAAUAUGUAAUACUAAACCAAUAAUAGUAUAACUUAGGUACCAACUAAGCUCUAGAAACAACUGAAAUCAAAACAUCAUAUAAGAAAUGAUCAGAAAUGUCAUCAAAUGGUAUAUGGAUGGCUCCAAAACAGCAGUCAGUUCUGAAAUAAGAGUGUACGGGUCUAGAACUAAACCCUCUGAAAGCCUGGGUAACAAACCAAGGAUAUUUCAAGCAGAAAAUAUGACUUGAACCCUUUUGUGGUAUCAGCUACGGAACAAUAAAGCACUGGAAAAGAAGGUAGAUAGGGUUUAAAACCAAAUACUGGGCCAAUCUAUAGGAGUCGAGAUACAGGCUAAGACACUCUUAGGGUAGCUAUAACCAGUGAAGAUCUAUCGAAUGUAUAAAACUAGGCAAGAGCAACCUACGAAUACUAACAGAAGACAUGUCAGGGCACUCUCGCCUUAAUGGUUAUCUGGAGAUGCUAGAUUUGACAUAUUCUAUUUCACAGAGGGCGAAACCUCCAUUCACAUUCUCUAGAUGUGUGAAAUAUUAUGAAACUCCAGAGCACUACACCUGGAAGCAUAUGAUAUAAAAGACGAAGAUCUCUAUAACUAGAAUCAUCCUUCAUUCUGACUUUUUUAAAAGGAGUGAGAUUAGUAUAUCAUCUGUAAACACUAAGGAAUGCCACUGUCACAGCACAAAAAAAGAGACACAACAGAUAUUUUUAAUAACUGGAAGAAGAAAAGCAGAAACAAUGUACCAUCUGAAGGGACUAAUUCCUUUUAUUUGUAUAUUUUUCAAUAAAAUUAAUUUCUAUGGUAUUUUAAUAACGUUUUCUUUUAUUAAAAUUAUUUUUGGGAAGUUUGAACAAUGUUAAUUGUAGAAAGUCACAAAGUUUUUUGACUUUUUUAGAUGCAAAAUCGACCACACUAACUGAAAACUUUAUAUAUUACAAAAUGUGUAAAUCUGUCACCUAGGUAAAUGUCGUAUAAAAAUCAUAGGAAAACAUUAAAACUGAUUUAGAAGUUUUUUUAUUAUUUAGAAAUAGUAAAGUUAUUUACACACUUUAAGAUGGAAAUGAUGCAAUAAAAUGUAAAAAUUUAACAAUACGGAAUUGACAUCAUAGGUUGUCUCAUGUAUAUAAGAAUAAUGUGAAUAAACCUUUUAUAGGUUAAGUUCUUACAUUAAUACAUAAUCACGUUAAAAAUUGAAAAAUUAAAAGCUCAAUAAACAUAAUUACUAUGAUAUAUUGAAAUAACUUGAAAAAUUUGAAUCUUAAUAACAUUAAAAUGAUCCCGGCAACAAAAAUAAUUACAUCUCGUAGGAUUGUCAAAACGACAAACACUUUCAAAUCAUUUUCGUUGUAUAUUCGAAUUUUUAAGCAUCAUAAAAAAACUUUUAUCAGGUGUUUUCACAUCCUGACACAAAACCCGAUUUAUAUACCAUUUUUCAAAUUAAUUUCAAGUUAGUUGAUAAUAACGAUAAUUUAAGAAUAACCGAGAGAGUAACUGUCAUAUUUACUUUGUAAAUCAUCAUCAUUUGUUAGUGCUCAUUUUAUACCUAUGACGUCACGCAAUAUGGAGACCUUACUGAAAUGUUUAAAAUACCUACAAAAUUUUUGAAUUUUCAAUAAUUUUUCUCCCUAUAAAUAUUGAUGAGAAAAUUAAAAAAAAUACAUAUAAUAAAAGUUGUACAGUUUAUAUCCAAAAUUAUUUUAUAUUAUCUGUAUAUUUGUAAGGUAAAAGUAAACAACUACAGAAGAAAUAUUUAUUUCAAAAUAAACGAAAUAUGUUAUACCUAUUGAUACAAAAAUAAAAAUAUGCAAACA